rnacentral:rRNA from 1 species
GAUGAACGCUGGCGGCGUGCCUAAUACAUGCAAGUCGAGCGAACAGAUAAGGAGCUUGCUCCUUCGACGUUAGCGGCGGACGGGUGAGUAACACGUGGGUAACCUACCUAUAAGACUGGGAUAACUUCGGGAAACCGGAGCUAAUACCGGAUAACAUUUGGAACCGCAUGUUCUAAAGUGAAAGAUGGUUUUGCUAUCACUUAUAGAUGGACCCGCGCCGUAUUAGCUAGUUGGUAAGGUAACGGCUUACCAAGGCGACGAUACGUAGCCGACCUGAGAGGGUGAUCGGCCACACUGGAACUGAGACACGGUACAGACUCCUACGGGAGGAAGAAGUAGGGAAUCUUCCGCAAUGGGCGAAAGCCUGACGGAGCAACGCCGCGUGAGUGAUGAAGGGUUUCGGCUCGUAAAUCUUUGUUAUUAGGGAAGAACAAAUGUGUAAGUAACUGUGCACAUCUUGACGGUACCUAAUCAGAAAGCCACGGCUAACUACGUGCCAGCAGCCGCAGUAA